UUCUCACCGGUGCUGUGUUUAGUGCUCUUUCAGGGGCUGAAGCGCUUGUCAUGGUGCCAGUUCCACUUGACUGAGCGUGAUAAUAAAAGCAUCCUACCCAGAAACCCUGGCAUUGCCUAGUUACACAAUGGAUUUCUUGGCAAGCCUUUAUUAGGUGGGAUUGGCCUUCUGCUCCUAGGAACAGCGUGGUUUUUCUGAACCCCUGACUGCCAGUGGGACGUCGGCUCCGAUGCGACCAUGAACAAGCUCUUCGUGUAAACUAUCAUGUUAAAUCAGAGUAGUCUCUCUCUCUCGCAUGAAGAUGUAAGUUAUGCUGCUUAAAUAAAAGGAAUUAUCCUGAGCUUGAAUAUACAGCCAAAUAGAUGAGUGUUAGCAGAGCAGCUCUGACCCAGAGCAGCUUGAUGGCAAGGCAGCUCUAGGAGGAUGUUAGCUGGCUAAUGCAAGUCAGUCUAGAAGAAAUGAAAGCAAAAGCGCACACUCCCUCAGGAGGGUGGGUAGAUCUGAAAGAAGAAAAUUGGUGGUGAGAGGAGUGCACUUUGGGGAAAACCAGCAUUUAACAUGUUGAUAAAUUGCCCAUCUGUUUUCUCUCUUUAAUCACUUUGUCUUGUCUUACAUGUUACAAGGUUGCUGGAGAAAAGCAUUGCCUAUUCCGUGACUGUUCACUCCCUAGUACAACGGACCCCAGAUAUUACUGAAACGGCUGAAUGGCUAUCUUGACUUUACGAAACACAGCACAAGAUCAUGACAACUGAGCUGGAAAGCGUAAAAGAAAGAGGUUGCAGGCUCUCCUGUGUCAUGCAG